rnacentral:rRNA from 1 species
GACGAACGCUGGCGGCGUGCCUAAUACAUGCAAGUUGAGCGCUGAAGGUUGGUACUUGUACCAACUGGAUGAGCAGCGAACGGGUGAGUAACGCGUGGGGAAUCUGCCUUGGAGCGGGGGACAACAUUUGGAAACGAAUGCUAAUACCGCAUAAAAACUUUAAACACAAGGUUGAAGUUUGAAAGAUGCAAUUGCAUCACUCAAAGAUGAUCCCGCGUUGUAUUAGCUAGUUGGUGAGGUAAAGGCUCACCAAGGCGAUGAUACAUAGCCGACCUGAGAGGGUGAUCGGCCACAUUGGGAAUGAGACACGGCCCAAACUCCUACGGGAGGCAGCAGUAGGGAAUCUUCGGCAAUAGACGAAAGUCUGACCGAGCAACGCCGCGGGAGUGAAGAAGGGUUUCGGAUCGUAAAACUCUGUUGGUAGAGAAGAACGUUGGUGAGAGUGGAAAGCUCAUCAAGUGACGGUAACUACACAGAAAGGGACGGCUAACUACGUG